GGUUAAGUGAAUAAGGGCGCACGGUGGAUGCCUUGGCACUAGGAGCCGAUGAAGGACGGGACUAACACCGAUAUGCUUCGGGGAGCUGUAAGUAAGCUUUGAUCCGGAGAUUUCCGAAUGGGGAAACCCGG
rnacentral:rRNA from 1 species